rnacentral:rRNA from 1 species
UACGUAGGGGGCUAGCGUUGUCCGGAAUCAUUGGGCGUAAAGCGCGUGUAGGCGGUUCGGUAAGUCCGCUGUGAAAGUCGGGGGCUCAACCCUCGGAUGCCGGUGGAUACUGUCGAGCUUGAGUACGGAAGAGGCGAGUGGAAUUCCUGGUGUAGCGGUGAAAUGCGCAGAUAUCAGGAGGAACACCAAGUGCGAAGGCAGCUCGCUGGGACGUUACUGACGCUGAGACGCGAAAGCGUGGGGAGCAAACAGG